ensembl:lncRNA
AAUUGGCAUGCUGACUACAGGAAUGUCCAACAGAGCUGUUGUCAGAGAAUCUCUAAUCCUCUAACAUAAGCCGCCUCCAAUGUUAUUUUAGAGAAUUUGGCAGUACAUCCAACCGGCCUCACAACCGCAAACCACAUGUAACCACGGCAGCCAAGGACCUCCACAUCUGGCUUCUUCACCUGCGGGAUCGUCUGAGACCAGCCACCCGGACAGCUGAUGAAACUGAAGAGUAUUUAUGUUUGUAAUAAAGCCCUUUGGGGUGAAAAAGUCAUUCUGAUUGGCUGGGCCUAUUCCCCCAGUUAGUGGAACUGGCUCCCAAGUGAGUGGACCUAUGCCCUCCCAGGCCCACCCAUGGUUGCACCCCUGCCCAGUCAUGUGAAAUCCUUAGAUUAGGGCCUAAUUUAUUUAUUUCAAUUGACUGAUUUCCUUAUAUGAACUGAAACUCAGUAAAAUCGUUGAAAUUGUUGCAUGUUGCGUUUAUAUUUUUGUUCAGUAUACAUAUACAGUAGGGCUUAUUAUAUGUUGGGGUGGCAGGUAGCCUAGCGGUUAGAGCAGGUAGCCUAGUGGUUAGAGCAGUUAGCCUAGCGGUUAGAGCAGGUAGCCUAGCGGUUAGAGCAGUUAGCCUAGCGGUUAGAGCAGGUAGCCUAGCGGUUAGAGCAGGUAGCCUAGCGGUUAGAGCAGGUAGCCUAGCGGUUAGAGCAGGUAGCCUAGCGGUUAGAGCAGGUAGCCUAGCGGUUAGAGCAGUUAGCCUAGCGGUUAGAGCGUUGGGCCAGUAACUGAAAGUUUGCUUGAUCGAAUCCCUGAGCUGACAAGGUAAAAAUCUGUCGUUCUGCUCCUGAAAAAGACAGUUCAUCCACUGUUCCUAGGCCAUCAUUGUAAAUAAGAAUUUGUUCUUAACUGACUUGCCUAGUUAAAUAAAGGUUAAAUAAAAAAUUAAAAAAUGUUGGCUCAGGGCCAGCAGCUAAGCUACUGUAUUAGAGUUGCAUAGUAAUAUGUUAGGUUAGUAUUAGCACUAAGGUG